UACAGAGGGGGCAAGCGUUAUUCGGAAUUACUGGGCGUAAAGGGCGCGUAGGCGGCACUGUUAGUCAGGCGUGAAAUUCCUGGGCUCAACCUGGGGACUGCGCUUGAUACGGCAGAGCUAGAGGAUGGAAGAGGCUCGCGGAAUUCCCAGUGUAGAGGUGAAAUUCGUAGAUAUUGGGAAGAACACCGGUGGCGAAGGCGGCGAAGCUGGUCCAUUACUGGACGCUGAGGCGCGACAGCGUGGGGGAGCAAACAGG
rnacentral:rRNA from 1 species